AUUGAACGCUGGCGGCAGGCCUAACACAUGCAAGUCGAGCGGAUGAAGGGAGCUUGCUCCUGGAUUCAGCGGCGGACGGGUGAGUAAUGCCUAGGAAUCUGCCUGGUAGUGGGGGAUAACGUCCGGAAACGGGCGCUAAUACCGCAUACGUCCUGAGGGAGAAAGUGGGGGAUCUUCGGACCUCACGCUAUCAGAUGAGCCUAGGUCGGAUUAGCUAGUUGGUGGGGUAAAGGCCUACCAAGGCGACGAUCCGUAACUGGUCUGAGAGGAUGAUCAGUCACACUGGAACUGAGGCACGGUCCAGACUCCUACGGGAGGCAGCAGUGGGGAAUAUCGGACAAUGGGCGAAAGCCUGAUCCAGCCAUGCCGCGUGUGUGAAGAAGGUCUUCGGAUUGUAAAGCACUUUAAGUUGGGAGGAAGUGCAGUAAGUUAAUACCUUGCUGUUUUGACGUUACCAACAGAAUAAGCACCGGCUAACUUCGUG
rnacentral:rRNA from 1 species